CAAAGAGAUUUAAAAGUGCUGAACCAAUUUUAGUGUCAUGCGCACGGAAAAUUUGCGGACAGUUACGCCCACAAGUGAACCAUCUGGUAUCCGUAAUCUGUGACCGGGCUGAAAUGUAGAUCAAAAAUAGACGGUUUUAAGAAGGCUCUCUUGGUCACUUCUUGUUUUGUUGUGAGUGUAAAUAUAGGUAACUGCUGCUGCAAGUUAAGAUUUAUUGCCUCUGAAGACAAGUGUCAGGUAUGAAAAGGAAUAACAGGAAUUCACAAUAUGGCGUAAAAAGACAGACGUUGAGGGGAUUAGCGACGAUAUUUUGCUCUGCUACGCGACGCAAUUGAGCAAAAAUUUUUCUCCAAACAACUUAUGGAUAAAAAUUUUCAUGUUAAAGACUUACUUGAAAUUACAUGAAAGUAUCGACAUUUCUGGAUAUGGAAAACUUUUUAUGUUCCUGAAACGCAAAUCUGAAUUUUAUAAACCAAAAAAGGCAACAAUCCUAAUAAAUGAGCAAGUCAUCAGAUUUCUUCUGGAAGCACCUGAUGACUACUUUUUGCUGGAGAAGGUUAUCUUAGUGCUGUAUUAAUUUGUAAUUUAUUG